UUACACAGUGAGGCUACCGAACGUUUGGAAACAGCGGUUAGGAGCUUACACCCACCCGUGUUUACAUACUAUUGUUGCUUUGGCGGGCCGUGGCCUCCACUGCGGGCUCUGCUCGUGUGUGCCCGCCAGAGAACCAAACUCUGAAUGUUAGUGAUGUCUGAGUACUAUCUAAUAGUUAAAACUUUCAACAACGGAUCUCUUGGUUCUGGCAUCGAUGAAGAACGCAGCGAAAUGCGAUAAGUAAUGUGAAUUGCAGAAUUCAGUGAAUCAUCGAAUCUUUGAACGCACAUUGCGCCCUGUGGUAUUCCGCAGGGCAUGCCUGUUCGAGCGUCAUUUAACCACUCACGCCUAGCGUGGUAUUGGGGCACGCGGUCUCCGCGGCCCUCAAAAUUAGUGGCGGCGCCGGUGGGCUCUAAGCGUAGUACAUACUCCCGCUAUAGAGUUCCCCCGGUGGCUUGCCAGAACCCCCAAUUUUUACAGGUUGACCUCGGAUCAGGUAGGGAUACCCGCU
rnacentral:rRNA from 1 species